GACGAACGCUGGCGGCGUGCCUAAUACAUGCAAGUAGAACGCUGAAGGAGGAGCUUGCUCUUCUGGAUGAGUUGCGAACGGGUGAGUAACGCGUAGGUAACCUGCCUGGUAGCGGGGGAUAACUAUUGGAAACGAUAGCUAAUACCGCAUAAGAGUAGAUGUUGCAUGACAUUUACUUAAAAGGUGCAAUUGCAUCACUACCAGAUGGACCUGCGUUGUAUUCGCUAGUUGGUGGGGUAACGGCUUACCAAGGCGACGAUACAUAGCCGACCUGAGAGGGGGAUCGGCCACACUGGGACUGGGACACGGCCCAGACUCCUACGGGAGGCAGCAGUAGGGAAACUUCGGCAAUGGACGGAAGUCUGACCGAGCAACGCCGCGUGAGUGAAGAAGGUUUUCGGAUCGUAAAGCUCUGUUGUAAGAGAAGAACGAGUGUGAGGGUGGAAAGUUCACACUGUGACGGUAUCUUACCAGAAAGGGACGGCUAACUACGUG
rnacentral:rRNA from 1 species